rnacentral:rRNA from 1 species
AUUGAACGCUGGCGGCAUGCCUUACACAUGCAAGUCGAACGGCAGCGGACCUUCGGGUGCCGGCGAGUGGCGAACGGGUGAGUAAUGCAUCGGAACGAACCUUUCAGUGGGGGAUAACGUAGCGAAAGUUACGCUAAUACCGCAUAUUCUGUGAGCAGGAAAGCAGGGGAUCGCAAGACCUUGCGCUGAUUGAGCGGCCGAUGUCAGAUUAGCUAGUUGGUGAGGUAAAGGCUGACCAAGGCGACGAUCUGUAGCGGGUCUGAGAGGAUGAUUCGCCACACUGGAACUGAGACACGGUCCAGACUCCUACGGGAGGCAGCAGUGGGGAAUUUUGGACAAUGGGGGCAACCCUGAUCCAGCCAUGCCGCGUGAGUGAAGAAGGCCUUCGGGUUGUAAAGCUCUUUCGGCCGGGAAGAAAUCGCACGGGCUAAUACCCUGUGUGGAUGACGGUACCGGAAUAAGAAGCACCGGCUAACUACGUGCCAGCCGCCGCAGUAAGAC